rnacentral:rRNA from 1 species
GUGGGGAAUUUUGGACAAUGGGGGCAACCCUGAUCCAGCCAUGCCGCGUGCGGGAAGAAGGCCUUCGGGUUGUAAACUGCUUUUGUACGGAACGAAACGGUCCUGGUUAAUACCUGGGGCUAAUGACGGUACCGUAAGAAUAAGCACCGGCUAACUACGUGCCAGCAGCCGCGGUAAUACGUAGGGUGCGAGCGUUAAUCGGAAUUACUGGGCGUAAAGCGUGCGCAGGCGGUGCUGUAAGACAGGCGUGAAAUCCCCGGGCUCAACCUGGGAAUUGCGCUUGUGACUGCAGUGCUGGAGUACGGCAGAGGGGGAUGGAAUUCCGCGUGUAGCAGUGAAAUGCGUAGAUAUGCGGAGGAACACCGAUGGCGAAGGCAGUCCCCUGGGCCUGUACUGACGCUCAUGCACGAAAGCGUGGGGAGCAAACAGGAUUAGAUACCCCAGUAGUCC